GAUGAACGCUGGCGGCGUGCCUAAUACAUGCAAGUCGAGCGAGCAGACGAGGAGCUUGCUCCUCUGACGUUAGCGGCGGACGGGUGAGUAACACGUGGAUAACCUACCUAUAAGACUGGGAUAACUUCGGGAAACCGGAGCUAAUACCGGAUAAUAUAUUGAACCUCAUGGUUCACUAGUUAAAGACGGUUUUGCUGUCACUUAUAGAUGGAUCCGCGCCGCAUUAGCUAGUUGGUAAGGUAACGGCUUACCAAGGCAACGAUGCGUAGCCGACCUGAGAGGGUGGUCGCACACACUGGAACUGAGACACGGUCGCGACUCCUACGGGGGGCAGCAGUAGGGAAUCUUACGCAAUGGGCGAGAGCUUGACGGAGCAACGCCGCGUGAGUGAUGAAGGUCUUCGGAUCGUAAAACUCUGUUAGUAGGGAAGAACAAAUGUGUAAGUAACUAUGCACGUCUUGACGGUACCUAAUCAGAAAGCCACGGCUAACUACGUG
rnacentral:rRNA from 1 species